UCAUGGCUCAGGACGAACGCUGGCGGCGUGCUUAACACAUGCAAGUCGAACGAAUGACCUAAAACGGAUCUCUUCGGAGUGAAGAUUUAAUGAUUUAGUGGCGAACGGGUGAGUAACACGUGAGAAACCUACCUAGCACAGAGGAAUAGCCGUUGGAAACGACGAUUAAUACCUCAUGACAUCACAUUAAGGCAUCUUAGUAUGAUUAAAGAUUUUAUCGGUGUUAGAUGGUCUCGCGUCUGAUUAGCUAGUUGGUAAGGUAACGGCUUACCAAGGCGACGAUCAGUAGCCGGUCUGAGAGGAUGAACGGCCACACUGGAACUGAGACACGGUCCAGAUUCCUACGGGAGGCAGCAGUGGGGAAUUUUGCACAAUGGGCGCAAGCCUGAUGCAGCGACGCCGCGUGAACGAUGAAGGCCUUCGGGUUGUAAAGUUCUGUCCUUGGGGAAGAUAAUGACAGUACCCAAGAAGAAAGCCCCGGCUAAAUACGUGCCAGCAGCCGCGGUAAUACGUAUGGGGCGAGCGUUGUCCGGAAUUAUUGGGCGUAAAGGGUACGUAGGCGGUUAUGUGGGUCCGUAUUAAAAGGCAUUGGCUCAACCAAUGUAAGGUAUGGAAACUGCACAACUUGAGUAGAUGAGGGGUAAGUGGAAUUCCUAGUGUAGCGGUGAAAUGCUUAGAUAUUAGGAGGAAUACCGGUGGCGAAGGCGACUUACUGGAAUCUUACUGACGCUGAGGUACGAAAGCGUGGGGAGCAAACAGGAUUAGAUACCCUGGUAGUCCACGCCGUAAACGAUGAGUGCUAGGUGUCGGGAGUCAAAUCUCGGCGCCGCCGCUAACGCAUUAGCACUCCGCCUGGGGAGUACGUACGCAAGUAUGAAACUCAAGGGAUUGACGGGGACCC
rnacentral:rRNA from 2 species